UGGACAGAGCUGUGUUGGCAGGAACCCAGGGAGAGGAGAAGGCAUUCCAGACAGCCUGUUGAGAGUGAGGGAGGGUGCUGUGGCCACGGGAAGUGGCUCAGGAAAAUGCAACAAUAGGCGAGGCAAAGGAAUGCAGAAAGUGACUGUGGUUUGGUGGGGACCUGGGUCCACCUACUGGCCACUGAGGAAGUGGCUGGACUAGGAGCUAAACUCCCAUGUAAUGCGGGAUCAUGGAUAGUGACACUGCUGGAGAGCUGAGCCACCAAGAGGAUGCUUCCGUUCCUGACACUAAACACUACCCUGCAUGGUCCACUAGUACUUACCAUCUUCUCCAGUGGAGCUGUAAUGUGUACCUAAUUUCCUCACUGACUGCAGCAAUCUAGGAUUUCCCAUGCUGUCAGAUGCCAUUCUGUUAGUAGUCUGCCUCUGACAGUGUCCCAUAACAGAUGCUUCUGAGAAAGGUCAGACCUCUUCCUCUUCCACCUAGGUAACUGUGCAAGACUGAACAUGAGGCAGAGCUUGACACAUUUGUGGACUUAAAUCCCAACGGAAAGUUCCCCAGACCCUCACUAUUGUAUCCCUUAGAGGAAAGUCUCCAAAACAAAAUGGACCCAGACAAGUGAUGCCUCCUCCAGUGCUAAUCUCCAGGGUGCCAUUUUCUGCAGCUUAAUUAUCAGGUACAGCAACUACCACACAAGCUUGAAAAAGUUCAAUGUGUGUUAUCCUGAUCUUAAUUGAU